rnacentral:hammerhead_ribozyme from 1 species
GCGAAACGGCCCACACGGGCCGUCGUCCGGCGGUGGCGCGCCGGGCCUGAUGAGCAGCC